GAGGAUAUAGCUCAGUUGGUAGAGUGCUUGCCUUGCAUGCAUAAGGCCCUGGGUUCUAUCCCUAGCGUGCACA
rnacentral:tRNA from 1 species